rnacentral:lncRNA from 1 species
CUACGCCUUUCACAAAAUCUAAAUCCUACUACAUUCUCACUACUUCCCUCCUUUCUCCAAUAAUCGUACUACUAUUGUCAGACCUGUGUUCUCAAAUAGAAAUUUAAGAUAAAAAAUAAGAAAAAUAAAUAAAAUAUACCAAUAAAUAGUACCUUUUGUAACCAGAGAAGUACAAACUUUUAAAUUAAGCAAGCCUGUCAAGUAUCAAUACAACCU